rnacentral:pre_miRNA from 1 species
UGGACAUAUUAUUAUAUUCGACAGUAUUCACGGCGUGAAAUAGGGGAUUACAUUGUUUUUAAAACGGAAAGUGAAUCAAUUAACAUAAUAGACUCCU